GACGGCGUGGAGGGCUGGAUCUCUCUCUGGGGGAGGGCGGGAAAAAAAAUUGGGUUUUAGGUUUUAAUUUAAAAAUGAAUAAAUAAAUGAAGCUGACCUGAAAAGUAACGCCGGGGAUUUUGGGGGGCAGCAAACAGUUUUCCUAAGCAAGAGGCAGAGGCGCUGAAGCGGAGGGCUCGGAGGGGCAGGUUACCACAGAGGUUUGGGAGGGGGAUGUUUGGCCAGGGCAAGGAGGGGAGCAGGGGAGCGGGGGCACCCCCAGCCCCCCGUGCCUGCUCUCCUGAAACCCUGUCCCGAUUCCUUUCCAGGGUACGCCGCCUGGCCGGGCCGCCGGCUGCCCUGCAGCUGGGCCGAGCAGCGCGCUUCUCUCCGGACGUAACAUGCCAGGUUCUCCUCCGCCAAGUGACGCACAGGUCGGGCCCCGGCUCAGUUUUUGCAGAGCGGAGACGCUGCGUGGGAUUAUCCCCUCCGCCCCCUAAAAUAGCGAUCUUUCAGACCCGUUAGCACACUCUAAAGGAGAAAAAUCCAGAGCUGCUGGUCCUUGCUUCACCAAGAGGAACUGUUGUUGAAUGUUAGGAAACAAAAUCUAUGGAUCUGUGGAUCUGUCCCUUAGAGAUAACUACAGCUGCAAGAACUGCACUUCUGAAAGCAGCUUACAUCUGAAUGUCCAAACCAUGACCUUACCCAAAGAUCCAAGAGUGGCAGAUUUUGCAGAGCAAGGAGCAAUGGAUUCCUCUUUCCGUGUUGGCUUUGGCUGGAGGUUUUACACAAUUCCACAUCUGCAGCCUGAACCAUCGCUGCCUCUGUGCUGGCACUCCUGGGACUGCUGUGGAAUACAAGUCACUGGCAGCAAGAGCAUGAAGUUCCGGGAGAAUACUGCAUUUGACAGAAUGUUGCUGUUCGUGUAAGCUAUUCAUUCGCUUCAAAUACGUACCACCUCAGGCUUUUUCUGCCUCUUUUCAAAAUCCAGAAGGGACAGUUCAACCAUCAGCUCUAACAGACAAAUAAAAACGGUAAGGUUUUUUUACGCUUAUACCCC
rnacentral:lncRNA from 1 species